rnacentral:rRNA from 1 species
GACGAACGCUGGCGGCGUGCUUAACACAUGCAAGUCGAACGGAAAGGCCCUGCUUUUGUGGGGUGCUCGAGUGGCGAACGGGUGAGUAACACGUGAGUAACCUGCCCUUGACUUUGGGAUAACUUCAGGAAACUGGGGCUAAUACCGGAUAGGAGCUCCUGCUGCAUGGUGGGGGUGGGAAAGUUUCGGCGGUUGGGGAUGGACUCGCGGCUUAUCAGCUUGUUGGUGGGGUAGUGGCUUACCACGGCUGUGACGGGUAGCCGGCCUGAGAGGGUGACCGGACACAUUGGGACUGAGAUACGGCGCAGACUCCUACGGGAGGCAGCAGUGGAGAAUAUUGCACAAUGGGCGGAAGCCUGAUGCAGCAACGCCGCGUGCGGGAUGACGGCCUUCGGGUUGUAAACCGCUUUCGCCUGUGACGAAGCGUGAGUGACGGUAAUGGGUAAAGAAGCACCGGCUAACUACGUG